rnacentral:tRNA from 1 species
GGGGAUUUAGCUCAGUGGUAGAGCACUUGCUUAGCAAGUGCAAGGCCCUGGGUUCGGUCCCCAGCUCCA